AAAAGAGGCUAUUUAACUGACUGUGGCCAGGGGUGAAAUUCCACACCUAGAGCCACCAGGAGCUUCAGCUUAUUGCCUAUUGCUUUGGUGUGGGAAGGUGAAACCCAGUCCCUGACAGGU
ensembl:snoRNA